AAAAAAUGAGAACGGCCCAACUCAAACCUUGACUUUUACUCCAUCCACGACCACCUUGACGGCAACAACCGCGGUUGCCUGGCAACUACGACAUUUCCGGUCCAGUCAAACCAGCUAAUAGUACGCAGGUGUGUUUAACUCGCCUACAAGUCUUCCAAACUCGCUUUUCUGGCCCAUGUUAAGGGAACAUGCCGGCUGAACGUAAGUUCGGUUCGACAUGUUCGUGAAGGUGUGUUUAUUACUCGUAUUUGGGUGUCUUCGGAAUCGUUACGACUGGCCGUCGAGCCAAGAUGCCCGGUGAGCCCCACCACCUGCCGGUAAGCGACCGCCGAGUGGUGGCGGCGGCUCGCUUCGCCGUGGCCGAAUUCGACGGAGUCACGACCUACCGAGGAACAGUUUCUUGAAUACGUCAGCCAAAGUUCAGUGGCCCCACCUACCCCUUCAUCCCGUCGAGGAGGCAGUCCCAAGAAGAAGGAAGAGAGGAAUAGGGGAGGGGUCGGAUCCCCUCCCCUCAGCCCCCAUUGACACACAUACAUACUCACUUCUUCCUGGCUCAUACAUGCACUCUGCUCCAUGAGGGGAGCAGCGGCUGAGGAGGGAGCGAGAGAGAGAGAGAACACGCCAGCGUCUGCAGGUGUCCCACCCUCCAGCUCCUUUUCCUCCUCAUGGAUGCUUCAUGACGUGUGUGCCAUACAUGGAGGGAAGCCAAGAUGGAACGAUGCAAGGCUGAAGUCGCUCCCCACAAACCGAGUGAGCGUGAUUGUUU